UGCAGAGUGGUGUAGUGAUUUGAGCACUGGACUACAAUUCUGGAUACCAGGGUUUGAAUCCCUGCUCUGCUA